rnacentral:rRNA from 1 species
UACGUAGGGAGCGAGCGUUGUCCGGAUUUAUUGGGCGUAAAGAGCUCGUUAGGCGGUUUGGUAAGUCGGGUGGUGAAAGCUCCGGGCUCAACUCGGAGAGGUCACUCGAUACUGCCAUGACUGGAGUCCGGUAGGGGGGUGUGGAAUUCCCAGUGUAGCGGUGAAAUGCGCAGAUAUUGGGAGGAACACCAAUGGCGAAGGCAGCACCCUGGGCCGGUACUGACGCUGAGGUAGG